CCCUGGGUUACUCAGAGGCACCUUUUGCCAGAGACUUGAAUUGCAAGAACAAUGUCAAGGAAGGACUCAGUAGAGAGCCUCAGGAACUCACCUUCAGUGGCAUGAGAGGUGCAGAAAAGGCUUUGCUGGUCCCUGGUGUCCUGUGCCCCACCCUCUGGCAGCUCAUCACUUCAGUGCACCUGGUCAGCAUCAGGAGAAGACUGUACUCCUGCAAGACAAAGCUUUCAGCACCUUAAACCUUCUGGUUUUGCCAGUGACUACAGUGGCCAAGCCAGCCUGAGAAUGUCACUGGCCAAGUUCAUGCCUGAAAGGAACCUGCUGGUGGCUUUGCAGGAUAUUUGGGACUGCUGCCCCACAGAAGAUGUAUCUGAAGGGGAAUACACUAUUUGUGGGGGUCAGUUGGCAGUCACAGCCAGCAGAUUUAUCUUCAGCUAGGACAUGACACCAUCAGAUCCUGUGGACACCAACAGUCAGCAUCCCCAUGAGUUACACAUGGAGCCCAAGUUGAAACACUGGGC
rnacentral:lncRNA from 1 species